rnacentral:rRNA from 1 species
GAUGAACGCUAGCUACAGGCUUAACACAUGCAAGUCGAGGGGCAGCGGUAUCGAAAGCUUGCUUUCGGUAGCCGGCGACCGGCGCACGGGUGAGUAACGCGUAUCGAACCUGCCUCAUACUCGGGAAUAGCCUUGCGAAAGUAAGAUUAAUGCCCGGUGUUUUCAGAGUCCCGCAUGAGGCUUUGAACAAAGAUUUAUCGGUAUGAGAUGGCGAUGCGUCCCAUUAGCUUGUUGGCGGGGUAACGGCCCACCAAGGCAUCGAUGGGUAGGGGUUCUGAGAGGAAGGUCCCCCACAUUGGAACUGAGACACAGUCCAAACUCCUACGGGAGGCAGCAGUGAGGAAUAUUGGUCAAUGGGCGGAAGCCUGAACCAGCCAAGUAGCGUGCAGGAAGACGGCCCUCCGGGUUGUAAACUGCUUUUAGUUGGGAAUAAAACGGGGCUCGUGAGCCCCCUUGCAUGUACCAUCAGAAAAAGGACCGGCUAAUUCCGUG